GCCAGGCACGGUGGCAUGUGACUGUAGUCUCAGCUACUCGGGAGGCUGAGGUGGGAGGACUGCUUGAACCCAGGAGUUCUGGGCUGUGGUGCACUAUGCCGAUUGGGUGUCCACACUAAGUUCAGCAUCAAUAUGGUGAUCUCCCAGAAGCAGGGAACCACCAGGUUGCCUAAGGAGGGGUGAACAGGCCCAGGUUGGAAAUGGAGCAGGUCAAAACUCCCAUGCUGAUCAGUAGUGGGAUCACGCCUGUGAAUAGCCACUGCACUUCAGCCUGGGCAACAUAGCAAGACUCCAUCUCU
rnacentral:SRP_RNA from 1 species